rnacentral:rRNA from 1 species
UACAGAGGCCUCGAGCGUUAGGCGGAAUCACUGGGCUUAAAGCGUGUGUAGGUGGAUGCCUAAGUACCUUGUGAAAUCCCACGGCUUAACCGUGGAACUGCUGGGUAUACUGGGCGUCUUGAGCCACUCAGGGGCUACCGGAACAAGCGGUGGAGCGGUGAAAUGCGUAGAUAUCGCUUGGAACGCCAAUGGUGAAAACAGGUAGCUGGGGGUGUGCUGACACUGAGACACGAAAGCCAGGGGAGCAAACGGG